AUUGAACGCUGGCGGCCGGCCUAACACAUGCAAGUCGAGCGAGCGGCGGACGGGUGCGUCAUGUCUGUGUCUCUUCCCGCUAGAGGGGCAUCACUACUGGAAACGUUUGCUAAUCCCGCAUACUGUCUGCUAAACCCAUAGGGGAGUAGCUAGUAGGUAAGGUACUGGCUUACAUAGUCGACGAUCCCUAGAUGGUCUGAGAGGAUGAUCAGCCAAACGGGGACUGAGAAAAGGCCCAGACUCCUACGGGAGGCAGCAGUGGGGAAGAUUGCACAAGGGGCGAAAGCCUGAUGCAGCCAUGCCGCGUGUAUGAAGAAGGCCCUAGGGUUGUAAAGGACUUUCAGUAGGGAGGCGUUACCGACAGAAGAAGCACCGGCUAACUCCGCGCCAGCAGCCGCGGUAAUUC
rnacentral:rRNA from 1 species